rnacentral:rRNA from 1 species
AAGUACAGUGAUGGAAAGAUGAAAAGAACUUUGAAAAGAGAGUGAAAAAGUACGUGAAAUUGUUGAAAGGGAAGGGCAUUUGAUCAGACAUGGUGUUUUGUGCCCUCUGCUCCUUGUGGGUAGGGGAAUCUCGCAUUUCACUGGGCCAGCAUCAGUUUUGGUGGCAGGAUAAAUCCAUAGGAAUGUAGCUUGCCUCGGUAAGUAUUAUAGCCUGUGGGAAUACUGCNAGCUGGGACUGAGGACUGCGACGUAAGUCAAGGAUGCUGGCA